rnacentral:hammerhead_ribozyme from 1 species
ACCGGUUGAUGAGUCUCAAAUAGGACGAAACGCGCAUCCUGGAU